CAGAAAUUGUACACAACUCUUGACAAAUCAGAGAGCCUUAACAAACCCAUUUGAAUUCCCACAAUUAAAUGGUUGUAUGGAAGUUGUAUAAAUGAAGAAGAGAACAAAAACUUGCAAUUCUUCAACUCUCACAAGGAUGCAGCGCGAUGUUACAGAUUAACACAAAAAAAUAAGAGGCAUUAUAUAUGGAGCGCCCUUCGUAACAACUCUCAAUAUAGUGUAGAACUGUCGA